rnacentral:rRNA from 1 species
UGGUUAAAAAGCUCGUAGUUGGAUCUCAACAGACUUGGAUCGGUUUACUUUGUGUAAUACUGAUCCAAAGCUGUGCUUUUGUCGGAGGUUUAGGGGUGCUCUUAACCGAGUGUCUCUGAGUGCCGACAGGUUUACUUUGAAAAAUUCAAUUCGCUUCAAGAAGGCUGUUAUGCUUGUAUGUUUGUGCAUGGAAUAAUAGAAUAGGAUGUCGAUCUUAUAUUGUUGGUUUUCGAGACUUGACAUAAUGAUUAAUAAAGACAGUCGGGGGCAUUUGUAUUCAAACGACAGAGGUGAAAUUCUUGGUCCGUUUGAAGACAAACUACUGCGAAAGCAUUUACCCAAGAAUGUUUUCAUUAAUCAAGAACGAAAGUUAGAGGUUCGAAGGCGAUUAGAUACCGCCCUAGUUCUAACCCAUACACGAUGCCAGCUAGCGAUCUGCUGACGUUUUUACUGUAGACUCAGCAGGAAGCUUCCGGG